rnacentral:lncRNA from 1 species
ACUUCGGGACACCUCAUCCGAGGCACGUUAGAUCUCGGUGUGUUGCAAGAGUUGAUUCACCAAGGUUGUUUGUUGUGCAAGGGCGCUCAUCAACUCUAUGACUUGUCGAGACAAGUGUUGUUCGCCAUUUAGAUUGGAAAAGCUUGGAAAGAAUGUGCCUUCUUGAGCCGUGGAAGUGUGGUAGACUCCGGGUGUAAGAUUUGAGUUGAGA